UUCAGGCAAUGUGAAAAUGGCUUGCAUGAAUCUUAAAUGAAUCCUAAAUAAAACAUGAUAAUAUAGACUAUGCCUGUGUGGUUAUUUACGUGACAAAUAAAACAUGAUAAUUUAGGCUAUGCCUGUGUCGUUAUUUACGUGACGAUAAGUGUGAAAAUGGCUUGCAUGAAUCUUAAAUAAAACAUGAUGAUAUAGACUAUGCCUGUGUCGUCAUUUACGUGACAAAUA
rnacentral:lncRNA from 1 species